rnacentral:rRNA from 1 species
AGUGAACGCUGGCGGUAGGCCUAACACAUGCAAGUCGAACGGCAGCACAGUAAGAGCUUGCUCUUACGGGUGGCGAGUGGCGGACGGGUGAGGAAUACAUCGGAAUCUACUUUUUCGUGGGGGAUAACGUAGGGAAACUUACGCUAAUACCGCAUACGACCUACGGGUGAAAGCAGGGGAUCUUCGGACCUUGCGCGAUUGAAUGAGCCGAUGUCGGAUUAGCUAGUUGGCGGGGUAAAGGCCCACCAAGGCGACGAUCCGUAGCUGGUCUGAGAGGAUGAUCAGCCACACUGGAACUGAGACACGGUCCAGACUCCUACGGGAGGCAGCAGUGGGGAAUAUUGGACAAUGGGCGCAAGCCUGAUCCAGCCAUACCGCGUGGGUGAAGAAGGCCUGCGGGUUGUAAAGCCCUUUUGUUGGGAAAGAAAAGCAGCAGGUUAAGACCCCGCUGUUCUGACGGUACCCAAAGAAUAAGCACCGGCUAACUUCGU